GUAGAAUGUAACAACUGUUUAACAGCUAUUUAGCAACAUUGCUGAACCAUUCAGGAUAGGGUGUGAAGGAAAAUCCUGUAUCCCACUGAAAGUGCAAGAGUCUAAGGAGACCACAGCUUCCAUGAAUCACUAGCUGAUGAAAACAAUUCAAAACCUGGAACAUCUGAGUUUAUCAGUUAUUUUCCUGCUGCUGUAUCUGCUUUCCGGAGCAGUUUAGCGUCCACUGGGAUCCAGGGUCAGUUAAAAAAGGCACCAGAGGAGGAGGUGGCAGCUGUGGCAGAUUGUGGAAAUUAUAAAGGACUGUUUCCAAAGCCUUCCAUUCAAAUGAAUGCAAAACCUCAACUGGAAAUGCAAUCAGAAUUACCCAGGAUCACCCCGUUUUGUGAUGAAAUCAAAGGACAUUGUGAGUUGCAUGCAGUUUUGAUGCUGAACUGUAAAUCAGGUUGUACUGGCUCAAAGCAUGACCUGGAUUUGCCCAAAGCAUUUGUGAACCCCAGCAAGCCUGCUGACGAACGUGCUCUGAGCCUGUGAUGCACCGUGAGAGCCAUCAAGCCCUGGUUGAGUUCAGGCUUCAUUGUAAACAUUUCCCACAGAUCUAGAAAUCCUCUCUCCUGGCACCAUCAAAGUGCCAAGAUCCCAGCAGUGGUUAUUUGCCCACACCAGGAUUUUGCAGCUUCUGCUCAGAAAAGGUUCAGGCUCUGAAGAGCAGAGGCUGUUUACAGGUCAGGUUUGAGGUAUAAGGAACCCAGGACUAGAACAGCAAGUGAGUUACAGGUCAGAACCAAGAUGAAUGGGGUUGUAUAGCAUUCUGUCCUCUCUAAAGUCUCUCCUAAAAAUGCUGUUGGGUAGAGCUGCUGACUCCAAACUGCUGCUUUACAAGAAGGAGUGAUCCCUGUACAUAGAUCUAUAAGAUCCAUCUAUAGGGAAGGCACCAUAUACAUACCACUUACAGGGGACUACAACUGU